AUCGUACUCCAACAUAUGUUUUCAACACAGCUCCCACGAAAGCUCCAUUCAUCACAGUGGGUGUGGUUUCAGCAGCUCUUUUAAUAACUGUGGCUGUGCUCAUCGUAUACUGUAAGAGAGCUAAAGGGAACAAAACAGCAACAGAAGACAACGUGG